CUUCGAAGCCAAAUCAGCAGGAAUUUUUGGGGUUCGUUGACUUCUUAAUGCAAAGCCACUGCCAAAUAAGUCAAGUUUCAAACGCCUUCCUGAUUCGACUUUCCGCCCAAACACCACUUCACACUUUCAUGUCGACCGCCGAGACGUUGGGUCAGGAUCCAAGCCCGAACCCCAACCCGCCCAAACGAGCCCCGAACGGACCCGACGAAACCCUAGCCUCCGACAAACCACCCGAUCCGCUUCUCGAAUUCGAUAACUUUAUCAACGCCACCGCCACCGGAGGUUACAGGACGCCUAAGCCACUGCGUGUGCGCCGUUCUUCUGACGGCGCGUCGGCUAGCUUAGCCGCGGAUCCGGUAACGACUACGCCGACUCCGGAGAACGCGGCGUCUACGGCCGGAGCUCAGCCGCGCCCGGAGCAGGCCGCUGCGCCGGAUUGGUUGCCGCCCGGUUGGCUUUUCGAAGAAAGAGUUCGGAGCUCCGGUGCCACGGCUGGAGCAGUAGACAAGUAUUAUUUUGAUCCAGUUUCAAGCCGUCGAUUCCGGUCAAAGAAUGAGGUUCUUUACUUUUUAGAAACGGGAACUAAACGUAAAAAGGGGAAACUAAUGGAGAACUCUGAUGGUGAAACAAUGGGCUCUGGGGGCCAGAAACAAAAGAAGUCUGCUACGAAGGCAAAGAGUUCUGCUUUGAAAUUUGAUUUUCUUAAUGUGCCCGAGAAGGUCAAUUGGGUUCUCACAGAUUCCUCCCGGGGGUCCUGGGCUCCUUUUAUUGGUGACGAAAAGGUGUCUAAAUCUAUUGUGCAAGAAUGGGCUGCUGCGUUCACAUCCCUCACCUCCAGACACGAUUCUCAGAUGAUGUUUUGAAGGGCAUCUUCCAAACUCUCCAUUGUAUCAUUAAGAGUAUGAUCCCAUACUGACCAAUACAGAUACGUGUUUCAGCCAUGGAGUUGUGCUGGGCAAUUUUACUAACGGUUGAAGUGUAUGUGUCAUGCUUUUACAAAGAACUCGAGAUCGCAACUAGACACUGAAUUCAAGUUUUGCAAAGAUCAUUGAUCUUCACCCUUCGAUCUGAGGUUUAUGUGUUUUCUUGUUAUAUGUUUCAUUGAUCUGUGGCUGAUUGGGUUCUGCUGACUUAGGAACUAAAUUAAAUUUGUUGAGUGGGGGUUGGCUGACUUCUUUUGUCAACUAGUAUUCAUCCUUUUUGAUAAUUAGGGUAAGAGAAACUUCGAUGAAACUGCUAUGAUGCUUCAACAGAUCUCAUUUCCUUCAUGGAGCAUGAUAAAGAGGGAGGAUUGAGGGGCAAAAAUGUGGCAUGUGUUCUUGUAUUACUGAUGUGACAACUUUAACUAUUUUUUUAUUAUUAUUUAAUAAGGAUUGAUUUAAAGGUUAGUGGAGACUGUCAUAUCCGCAUUGUAAAAUAGUUGUAAGAUAAAAAUGUGGUAUAACAUUACUCUUCCUUAAUAUUAAAUGCAUAAAUCAUGUUCAAUCA